ensembl:snRNA U2 U2 spliceosomal RNA
UCAGGUCCUUGCGCUUGCGAGGCAGGUGGUGGUAUAGAACCUAUUCUUAUCAGUUUAGUAUCUGAUAGGUCCUCUAUACAAGGACAACAUAUUAAAUGGAUUUUGGAGCUGGGAGAUGGAAUGGGAGCUUGCUCCACCCACUCUGUUUCAACCUGGUACUGCAAUACCUCCAGGAACAGUACAUCCUAC